GAGACAUGGUUGGCAGUUGCUUCAGCUGAGGCGCGGGGGCCGGUCGCUUCUGCAGAGCUAUGGUUGGCAGUUGCUCCAGCUGAGGCGCGGGCCGCUUCUGCUGAGGCAUGGUUGGCAGUUGCUUCAGCUGAGGUGUGGGCCGCUUCUUGGUUGGCAGUUGCUCCAGCUGAGGCGCGGGGGCCAGCCGCUUCUGCAGAGCUAUGGUUGGCAGUUGCUACAGCUGAGGCGCGGGCCGCUUCCGCAGAGGCUCGGGGGCCGGCGGCCGCUUCUGCUGAGGCAUGGUUGGCAGUUGCUCCAGCUGAAGCGCAGGGGCCAGCCGCUUCUGCUGAGGCAUGGUUGGCAGUUGCUCCAGCUGAGGCGCUGGGGCCAGCCGCUUCUGCUGAGGCAUGGUUGGCAGUUGCUACAGCUGAGGCAUUUGUCCCGGCGUCACACUUGCCAGAGUAUUGGUGCCAGUAGCUUUAGCAUUUGGAACAGACACCACACUUGCUUGGGAUCCAGAUGGUUCAGGUCCAGUGCAUGCAGGAUGCCCAUAAGCAUCACCUAGGAAACAAAACAUUAUGGUAAAACGCCAGCCUUAAGCUAUUGGAACUAG
ensembl:lncRNA